rnacentral:sRNA from 1 species
GGUUUCCCGUUUAGUCAGCCAUUUUGCCCUUGGUUUCUAAACCACACUUGUGUCAAAGCCAAAUAAGGAAUAGAACAUGGCCUAUGCCAGUAGUAUGAGGAGUUAUUUUAAGGCUUUAGUGUACUAUAUGGAAAUGUAAAUAUUUAGUUUUCUCACAAAACCAUCUGUAUAUUCCUACAGACAGCCGCUGUACGGUGUUAAGGAAACAAGAUAGUGGUGAAGCACCGUUUAGUUCAACCAAGGUGAAAAACAAAAGCAAGAAAAAGAAGCCAAAGGAUUCAAAGCCUAUGUUAGUUGGGUCUGGAACAACUUCAGUAACUCCAAAUAAUGAGAUCAUCACUUCAAGUGAAGACCAUAGCAAUCGAAAUUCAGAUUCUGCAGGCCCAUUUGCAGUGCCUGACCAUCUUCGGCAAGAUGUAGAAGAAUUUGAAGCUCUCUAUGACCAACACAGUAACGAAUAUGUUGUCCGCAAUAAGAAGCUAUGGGACAUGAACCCAAAACAAAAAUGUUCAACUCUGUAUGAUUACUUCUCUCAGUUUUUGGAGGAACAUGGUCCCUUGGACAUGAGUAACAAGAUGUUCUCUGCAGAAUAUGAGUUUUUCCCAGAAGAAACUCGACAGAUACUAGAAAAAGCAGGAGGUUUAAAACCUUUUCUCUUGGGAUGCCCUCGUUUUGUUGUGAUUGACAACUGUAUUGCACUGAAGAAGGUUGCAUCACGGCUCAAGAAAAAAAGGAAGAA